AGGCCACCUUCCCCUCGCGGGAGAAGGCGCUGUCCUCUCACGGGAAAAGCUCCCCUCCCCUUCCUGGGAAAGGCGCCCCUUCCCCUCAGGGGCAAAGCCGCCUUCUCCUCACGGGCGAAGCCUCCUGCCCCUCACGGGAAAGGCGCCCCUUCCCCUCACGGGCAAAGCCGCUCUGCACUCACGGGCGAAGCAUCCCUUCCCUUCACGGGCAAAGCCUCCUGCCCCUCACGGGAAAGGGGCCCGUUCCCCUCACGGGCGAAGCGUCCCGUGCCACGGACCUCGGGGAAGGCUUCAACCCCGAUGUCCCGCUCCGAGCAUGGCCACCGGGCAAAGCUCUCCGGCCCCAGCGCUGCGGUGGCUGCCAGGUCGCUCGGUCAGGUUUUGUGAUCCCCCUCUUCGUAUUGGGGCGCCCAUAAUGAGGAGGCCCGUUCGCGGUGCCGUGUGGUGAGAGCUGGUUAAAAGGCUGUGAGGCGCCAGCGCGGUCGGGGUGUGCUGUGGGAUCACGGUAAAACAAGUGUUCCCCAGGGCCAGGAGGGAUUGUCACGGAAUCCCGGCGUCUCAGAAGAGUUCGAGUUGGAAGGGACCUUUGGAGACCAUCCAGUCCGAGGCAGGGUCACCUGGAGCAGGUGACACAGGAGCUUGCCCGGGUGUUCCAACAGUACCUGCCAUUGCCAGAGAUCUGCUGACAGACAUCCCUGCCUUUCUGUGCUGUGAGCUUCUUGCCACUGCAGUUAAUGCCAGCUGAGGAUUAAACCUGGAGAGCUGUAGUUGUCCAACUUCCAUAAUCCCACUGCUGUUAAAGAAAAGGUUCAGGAAUCAAGCUGUCACUUUAGGUUUCCACAGCUGGAAGUGUAUCCGUGAAUAUGAGAUAAGUUUUGGAUAGAAUUUGGAGAAAAAGAAAAAAAGAAAGGUUAGUUCAAUUCCAUGUUUUAAUCUUGACUAUAAAAUGUAAAGGUCAAUUAUAGGAUGGAGAU